AAAUGGAGAAACUGGUAACUCAGUAGCUGCUUCUCAAUAGAAAUGAAGGAAAAUUAUUUUACAUUUCUUGCCAUGAAUUUUCUGGACUUCAAAAUUGGUGUAAACAAAGAUGACUGUUCUUUCUCCUUAAUUGGAUGAUCAGUUGUAGCAACUGGUGCGCGUGGAGUGACAUUGGCAUCAUGAGUAACGCAUUGGCUUGAAUAUGUUUGUGGAUAAUUUUGAAUGAAAUAACGAGUGUGUUGUUCUGUGAUUAGUGGUAAUUGAAACUGAAAAGACUCAUGACCAAUUAGCACUGACUUAUAUCCCUCCCUUCGUCAAUUUCAACGGCACAAACAGUGAAGAAAUGCAUAUUUCAUAGUCAACUUUUUAGGCUAAUUUGAUGAAAUUAGCUGAACAAGUUAUUAUAUUUGCAGAUUUUACGGAGUAAGUAGUUAUUACUUAAGUUACUUUAUAUAAUAUUUCUGCUUCGUCUGUAUAUAACAUCGGAGAAAGUGUUUAAUCUCCCCUGUUUCCAAUUCAUUGGAUAUUCAGUAGUAAGAAAAAUGUCAUCUUACUUGACAACAAAGAUAGACCAAGCCCGAUUCUUAUAAUGCCUCAUUACAAAAGCAGAGAUUAUAGUUUCAUUGAGAAUCCUUUUUUUUUUUUUUUUUUUUUUUUUGGUGGUGUCGUGUGCUUGGCUGCAGCUUUGAAUUAUAAAUAAUUACUAUAAAAGUAUUUUUUUGUCUGUCGUAUGUGAUGAACAACAACAUCUAGGUGCGGAUGCCUCUUUAGCAAUACAUUGUUCCUACCAGUUUACACUGACUGUUAGCAAAAGUUGUGUUCUGCAAUUUGGUGAAGAAAAUUGUCAUAUGGAUGAAACUUUGUUGGAAUACCAAGCGCACGCCGUGGCAAGGCAGAUACCUUCUCUGUGAGAGCUCACUAAUCAAAUAGUUGAGCAGUGUGAAGCUUUAGGAGUAAAAUGUGCAGUAGUAAGCCUUUGUAUCCCUUUUUAGGUGAAGUAAGCAGAAAUGGGUAACAGAUUGUAAUCUCUUUGCCAACAAUUAGUUUUUAAAUUAGCUAAUAUAUGAGGCAGAGUUGGUGACUCAGAGGUGGAGUUAUGGAAGUGCAUGCUAAGUGGCUACCACGAGCACCAGCUGUACGGCCGGUGGUCUACUGGCUAUGCUGAAUGAAAGUCACCCCUAGUUGAAACUCCACCCCUCUCCAAUCUCAAUGCCUUUGUUGAUUACUUCUGGCUGGAGAUUUCUACAUCAGUCACUGCCAUGUAAUACUUCCAUUGCCUUCUACUUCCGUUAGUGUUAUUUGUAUAGCAGUAUUUCCUUUUGUUUCGUGCAACUGAAAUGUGUCGACAGUAAUAGAAUGUAAAACUCUUUUUGCUUUCGUGAGGCGAUAUUUCAUGUUGGGAAGAACAUUCAUUAUUUAUGGUAAACCUGAUUUGAAAUAAUGACAGUUUAUAUUAACUGUAUUUAUUUAGAAAUUGAAGUAGUGAAUGUGUU